rnacentral:rRNA from 1 species
CCUACGGGAGGCAGCAGUGGGGAAUAUUGCACAAUGGGGGAAACCCUGAUGCAGCGACGCCGCGUGAGUGAAGAAGUCUUUCCGUAUGUAAAGCUCUAUCAGCAGGGAAGAAAAUGACGGUACCUGAUUACUAAGCCCCAGCUACCUACGUGACAGCAGCCGCGGUCAUACGUAGGGGACCAGCGUUAUCCGGAUUUACUGGGUGUAAAGGGAGCGUAGACGGCAGCACAAGUCUGGAGUGAAAUGCCGGGGCUUAACCCCGGAACUGCUUUGGAAACUGUGCAGCUAGAGUGCAGGAGAGGUAAGUGGAAUGCCUAGUGUAGCGGUGAAAUGCGUAGAUAUUAGGAGGAACACCAGUGGCGAAGGUGGCGUACUGGACUGUAACUGACGUUGAGGCUCGAAAGCGUGGGGAGCAAACAGGAUUAGAUACCCGGGUAGUC